UACGAAGGGGGCUAGCGUUGCUCGGAAUUACUGGGCGUAAAGCGUGCGCAGGCGGUUUGUUAAGUCUGUCGUGAAAUCCCCGGGCUCAACCUGGGAAUGGCGAUGGAUACUGGGCAGCUAGAGUGUGUCAGAGGAUGGUGGAAUUCCCGGUGUAGCGGUGAAAUGCGUAGAGAUCGGGAAGAACACCGGUGGCGAAGGCGGCCUGCUGGGCAGUAUAGCUGACACUGAGGCGCGACAGCGUGGGGAGCAAACAGG
rnacentral:rRNA from 1 species